CAAUACGAGAAGAACAACAGGGAUUCCCCUAGUAACGGCGAGUGAAGCGGGAACAGCUCAAAUUUGAAAUCUGGCCUUCGGGUCCGAGUUGUAAUUUGCAGAGGAUGCUUUUGGUGCGGUGCCUUCCGAGUUCCCUGGAACGGGACGCCUUAGAGGGUGAGAGCCCCGUACGGUUGGCCACCAAGCCUGUGUAAAGCUCCUUCGACGAGUCGAGUAGUUUGGGAAUGCUGCUCAAAAUGGGAGGUAUAUUUCUUCUAAAGCUAAAUACUGGCCAGAGACCGAUAGCGCACAAGUAGAGUGAUCGAAAGAUGAAAAGCACUUUGAAAAGAGGGUUAAAUAGCACGUGAAAUUGUUGAAAGGGAAGGAUUUAUGACCAGACUUUUUCUAGGGGGAUCAUCCGGCGUUCUCGCCGGUGCACUUCCCCUAGUUGAGGCCAGCAUCGGUUUUCCCAGGGGGAUAAAAGCUUCGGGAAUGUGGCUCCUUCGGGAGUGUUAUAGCCCGUUGCAUAAUACCCUUGGGGGGACCGAGGACCGCGCUUCGGCAAGGAUGCUGGCGUAAUGGUUAUUAAUCACCCGUCUUGAAACACGGACCAAGGAGUCGAACAUUUGUGCGAGUGUUUGGGUGUUAAACCCUCACGCGUAAUGAAAGUGAACGGAGGUGAGAGCCCCUCGGGGUGCAUCAUCGACCGAUCCUGAUGUCUUCGGAUGGAUUUGAGUAAGAGCAUAACUGUUCGGACCCGAAAGAUGGUGAACUAUGCGUGGAUAGGGUGAAGCCAGAGGAAACUCUGGUGGAGGCUCGCAGCGGUUCUGACGUGCAAAUCGAUCGUCAAAUCUGCGCAUGGGGGCGAAAGACUAAUCGAACCA
rnacentral:rRNA from 1 species